AAUGUCUAUCUUUUUUCCAUUGUUUCUUUUCCCAGUUUAACCCCUUGAUUGUUUUCAAUAUCUCUCUCUCUUCUGAAGCUGUUGUCUCUGGAGAAUCGAGCUCGAGAGCUCCAAAUGCUGCUUGGAAUAGACCAUUGAUCGGACACACCCCGAACUUUUUAUCUCUUUUCUUAUUUAGCCCUCCAUAAAACCUCGAAUAAAGGUUUUUUGGCGGUAAAUAUUCGCAAUAACUUUUUUCGUAUAUCCGGGGAGUGUUUAAUUUAAGUUU
rnacentral:ribozyme from 1 species